rnacentral:rRNA from 1 species
AUUGAACGCUGGCGGAAUGCUUUACACAUGCAAGUCGAACGGCAGCACGAGAGCUUGCUCUUGGUGGCGAGUGGCGAACGGGUGAGUAAUAUAUCGGAACGUAUCCAAUACUGGGGGAUAACUAAUCGAAAGGUUGGCUAAUACCUCAUACGCCCUACGGGGGAAAGCCGGGGAUCUUCGGACCUUGCGUUAAUGGAGCGGCUGAUAUCGGAUUAGCUAGUAGGUGGGGUAAAGGUUCACCUAGGCGACGAUCAGGAGCUUGUCUGAGAGAACGACCAGCCACACUGGAACUGAGAAACGGUCCAGACUCCUACGGGAGGCAGCAGUGGGGAAUUUUGGACAAUGGGGGCAACCCUGAUCCAGCCAUUCCGCGUGAGUGAAGAAGGCCUUCGGGUUGUAAAACUCUUUCGCAAGGGAAGAAACGAUACAGACGAUUAAUCUGUGUUAAUGACGGUACCUUGAUAAGAAGCACCGGCUAACUACGUGCCAGCAGCCGCGGUAA